ensembl:lncRNA
AGAAUUUCUGCUAACUAGUGGGCAGUAAAUUUACUCUUCUAAUAGGUUCAUCUUUUAUUAGGUAUUUAUUUCAGGAGGUUAAACCAUAAUUAGAUUGCUUUAGGAAGCUGAAAAAGAAAGGAAUGGAGAUUCCAGCCUGAGAAUUUGUUUUAUUUGCUCCUCGGAUGUCCAAAGAAAUUCUCAGCACAAUCUGUAUUCCUCCAGAUAGGGGGUUGCACAACUAAACAGCUCCAAUAUUUCUGCCAGGAGUUUGCAUUUGUCUUUCCUGUACAAAAGUUAUUGCUAAGCUGUAAUCCUUCCCUGAAAUACAGUGUGUGGAGCCAAGGCUGAACCCAAUUUACUGUGGCAGAUGAAUAUAGCCAAGGUGGUGGUCUGAAUGUUUGGCCUAAAGGCACAAUCCAAUUUUCAACUGUUUCAAAGCUAUUAUGUCAAAGGCUGUUUGCAUAAACAUAACAAUGGGAGCGAGCCCCGGCGGAGGCGGCAGCAGAGGGGACGCUGCCCUCUCGCGUCUCCUGCCUGCAUCUGCCUGCAGCUUGCUGAGCGCUCCCGAUGCCAAAAACUCGGGAUUUUGGGAGGAGAGCAGAAGCUGCUUUCUCCUGUGUCCCUGAAAUGCAGCCGGACAGCUUCUUCUUAUAAAUUGCAGUUGUGAAGAAAAGACUAAGGAACAGGAGAGACAGUUUUCAGAUUAGUCAACUUCUGUGAUUUCAGAGCUUCAUCACAUGAAUAAGAACAGCCUCACUUUUAAAAUGGUUCCCUGGAUGACCAAAAUACCAAAUUCCUUUAAAAUUGUCCUGAGCCCUUAACAGCACAGAACCAUUAUUAACUUAUUGCCAGGGACUAUAAAAGAGAAUAUUAUUGCUUGGCUACACACUGUAUUUGUUGUUUUGUCUUCUGUUUAUAAGGGAUGUAAAGCAACUGCUGCAUAUCUUUCGACUUUGGAACUAUUUACCAUUUCAUGCUAUUAUUAAAAUAAUUAUUUAUUUAUAAUGACCAAUUAAUAUUAUGUAGCUCAAGAUUACUACAGUACUUGGUGUCUCUUUGUGUUCCCUCUAAGGUGUUUUGACUUGCCAAACAGAGCUGAAAACAUAAUCAGGUGUUUUCAUGCUAUUUCAUGCUAUACUGCUCUCCCCCUGGCUGAACCAGCACUGCUGCAAGAGUAUUUUAUUUGAUGUGUUUCACCUUCACCUUUCAAGGUUUUGCUGAAACCACCACAAAAGGACACUGGAGAGAAAAGUAUUAAGUAAACCAGCAGAGGUUUCCUAGGCUAUGGGGAGAAGGCUUACAGUCAGCUCAAGCCAUGGGGAAAGGUGCAGAUAAUCACCAAGCUUUAUCAUAAAAAAUUAGAAACACCACCAUCAUGUGUCAGGGGGAUGGUUUUUUCAUCUGGCAGCACUGAAAAUUUUACCCUGACAGCACAGUCACAUAGCAAAGAAACAAAAAGGUCUUUGGCACCCCACAAGCCCUACAAGAAUAUUGGUGGUUUUGUUGUUCGUCCGUGCUACAGAAACCUGCAAGUGUCUGAAAAGGAAAUAGCAAACCUGACCCUCCUACCUGUUGCCUUUGUUUAGCACCAGCCAAAAUACUUUAUUAUUCAUGACCUACAUAAUACAAGUAGCAUGUUAGAAUCUGUACAGGCAGGUGGAGAAGAAAGUAAUACCAGAGGUAGCCAAGUUCACUGUUUACCUCUC